rnacentral:rRNA from 1 species
AACGUAGGAGGCGAGCGUUAUCCGGAUUUACUGGGCGUAAAGCGUGUGUAGGCGGUACGGCAAGUUGGAUGUGAAAGCUCCUGGCUUAACUAGGAGAGGUCGUUCAAUACUACCGAACUUGAGGGCAUCAGAGGAAGGUGGAAUUCCCGGUGUAGUGGUGAAAUGCGUAGAUAUCGGGAGGAACACCAGUGGCGAAAGCGGCCUUCUGGGAUGAUCCUGACGCUCAGACACGAAAGCUAGGGUAGCGAACGGGAUUAGAGACCCCGGUAGUCCUAGCAGUAAACGAUGUAGACUUGGUGUCGGAGGUGUCAAAACCUUCGGUAUCGUAGCUAACGCGAUAAGUCUACCGCCUGGGGACUACGGCCGCAAGGUUA